GGGAAGGUCCCCUGGAGUAGGAAAUGGCAACCCACUCCAGUAUUCUUGCCUGGGAAAUCCCACGGACAGAGGAGCCUUUCAGGCUACUGUCCAUGGGGUCACAAAAAGCUAGACACAACUGAGAGACUGAGCAUGCACAGAUGCAGGGAUUUCAGCUUUAUUUAAGGAUCUCUUAUGAUGCACCCUACUUUGAUCAAGCUCUGGACUUAAAACUCUCCAUCCCAUCCCCAUCAACCUCCAAAGCAGAAGACCAAGGUGCCAGCAUCUGGCAGAAACUUCCAGGGUGGAGCUAAAAAGAAUUUCCAAAGAUGAUAACCAAUGGACUUUUGUUGGAGAAAAACAAAUAGCAUGCCAGUCUGGACUGAUGUUGAAGCUGAAACUCCAAUACUUUGGCCACCUGAUGUGAAGAGCUGACUCAUUGGAAAAGACCCUGAUGCUGGGCAAGAUUGAAGGCAGGAGGAGAAGGGGACGACAGAGGAUGAGAUGGUUGGAUGGCAUCACCGACUCGAUGGACAUGGGUUUGGGUGGACUCCAGGAGUUGGUGAUGGACAGGGAGGCCUGGCAUGCUGCGGUUCAUGGGUUCGCAAAGAGUCAGACGACUGAGUGACUGAACUGAACUGAACUACCUCUCGAAGAGGCUCCCAGAAAUAACAAUGCUAUCCUACACCUGAAACUAUCAUGUCAAAUGUGUUAAUAAUUACAAUAGCUAGUGUCCUUCAGGGUAGGCUGAUUAUCAUUUGCAGAACUCUAGGUAAUGAUAUGUAUUACCUCAGCCUUCACAAUAACCAUCUGCAGGAGACAUUAUCGUUAGUUCCAUUUUACAGAUAAGGAAACUGAAGAGCGGAAUGGUUAAGUAAUUUGCCCAAAGAAUGUGGUGGAAGUGGGAGGUGCUUGGGUUCCGGAACACAUGCCCCUAGCCUUACCAGCUCUGUUAGAAGAUAAACAAUCAGUGAAAAACUAGCUUCCUAAAAAAUACAGCCCAUAUCAGAUUAUUCAGGAGGACUGAAUAAUCUAAUAUUAUUCAGGGGGAUUGAAUAAUCUAAUAUGAUUCCUUUACAACAUGGUCCUUAAUUGAGCAGCCCAUCAGAAAUACUCAGGGAAUGUUUAGACAUUCUAAUCUGGUUGGUAUGGGGUGGGGCCUCGACCUCUUUAUUUUGUCAAGUCUCCGCAGACAGUUCUGGUGAACACCUUUGAUUAGAACCAAACCUGUGGGACUCAACCAGGGCCACCACCCUGGAUAGCCUCUUUUCUCCCUUUGUUCACAUGUAAGAACAC
ensembl:lncRNA